ACUAGGAUUUAUCCUGGGAUCACAAUGGGCUUGAUUUGCAAACUUUAUUUUAGCGAGGAACAAUUGGAGGGCAAGUCUGGUGCCAGCAGCCGCGGUAAUUCCAGCUCCAAUAGUGUAUAUUAAUGUUCCUGCAGUUAUUCGAUGCUCGUAGUUGGAUUUCUGGAGGCUGCGUGGGGCCGGGGACUAUGGUCUCCGUUCUGCGCUUCCUUCAUCCACCUGUUAACGUUGUCCGGGAUUCAUUUUUCGGCUUCGGGCUCAGGUAUUUUACCCUUUCUACAUAUAUUCAUUUAUUUAUCUACUUUUUGAGCAAAUUAUAGUGUUUCAGGCAGGCGUGCGCCGGAAUACAUUAGCAUGGAAUAAUCGAACAGGACCGUGUAUUCAUCAUUUGAAUUUCUCCUUAUUUGUUGGUUUCGAAGGACACGGAAAUGGUUAAUAGGGAUAGUAAUUUUAUCAGGGGAGGCAUUAGUAUUUAAUUUCCAGAGGUGAAAUUCUUUGAAAUAUUAAAGACUAACUUAUGCGAAAGCAUUUAUUUUGCCAAUAAUGUUUUCAUUAAUCAUUGAACGAAAGUUAGGGGAUCAAAGACGAUCAGAUACCGUCCUAGUCUUAACCAUAAACGUUGCCGACUAGGGAUCGGAGGGCGUGCACAUUCCGCCUUUGGCACCUUACGAGAAAUCAAAGUCUUUUGGGUUCUGGGGGUAGUAUGGUCGCAAGGCUGAAACUUAAAGGAAUUGACGGAAGGGCACCACCAGGAGUGGAGCUUGCGGCUCAAUUUGACUCAACACGGGAAAUCUUACCAGGUCCAGACAUAGCGAGGAUUGACAGAUUGAUAGCUCUUUCUUGAUUCUAUGGGUAUUUUUGGUGGUGCAUGGCCGUUCUUAGUUGGUGGAGUGAUUUGUCUGGUUAAUUCCGUUAAACGAACGAGACCUCAGCCUGCUAAAUAGUUACCUGUCUUUCCAUUUACCGAGACUUGCUAACUUCUUAGAGGGACGUUGUGUGCAACCACAAGGAAGUUGAGGCAAUAACAGGUCUGUGAUGCCCUUAGAUGUCCUGGGCCGCACGCGUGCUACACUGAUACGUACAACGAGGUAUAUGCAUUUAUGCAUCUAGGCUGCUCCGAAAUAGACAAAGCUAAAUCUUCGAAAAAUACGUAUCGUGCUGCGGAUAGAUCGUUGAAAUUAUGAAUCUUGAAGGUGGAAUUCCUAGUAAGCGCGGGUCAUUAACCCGCGUUGAUUACGUCCCUGCCCUUUGUACACACCGCCCGUCGCUCCUACCAAUUUCGAGUGGCUCGGUGAACCUCUUUGGACUGUCGAGCAAUCGCGAAAUUAGAGUGAACCUGGUCAC
rnacentral:rRNA from 1 species